GAUUAGCUUGUUGGUGAGGUAACGGCUCACCAAGGCGACGAUCCCUAGCUGGUCUGAGAGGAUGACCAGCCACACUGGAACUGAGACACGGUCCAGACUCCUACGGGAGGCAGCAGUGGGGAAUAUUGCACAAUGGGCGCAAGCCUGAUGCAGCCAUGCCGCGUGUAUGAAGAAGGCCUUCGGGUUGUAAAGUACUUUCAGCGGGGAGGAAGGUGUUGUGGUUAAUAACCGCAGCAAUUGACGUUACCCGCAGAAGAAGCACCGGCUAACUCCGUGCCAGCAGCCGCGGUAAUACGGAGGGUGCAAGCGUUAAUCGGAAUUACUGGGCGUAAAGCGCACGCAGGCGGUCUGUCAAGUCGGAUGUGAAAUCCCCGGGCUCAACCUGGGAACUGCAUUCGAAACUGGCAGGCUUGAGUCUUGUAGAGGGGGGUAGAAUUCCAGGUGUAGCGGUGAAAUGCGUAGAGAUCUGGAGGAAUACCGGUGGCGAAGGCGGCCCCCUGGACAAAGACUGACGCUCAGGUGCGAAAGCGUGGGGAGCAAACAGGAUUAGAUACCCUGGUAGUCCACGCCGUAAACGAUGUCUACUUGGAGGUUGUGCCCUUGAGGCGUGGCUUCCGGAGCUAACGCGUUAAGUAGACCGCCUGGGGAGUACGGCCGCAAGGUUAAAACUCAAAUGAAUUGACGGGGGCCCGCACAAGCGGUGGAGCAUGUGGUUUAAUUCGAUGCAACGCGAAGAACCUUACCUGGUCUUGACAUCCACGGAAGUUUUCAGAGAUGAGAAUGUGCCUUCGGGAACCGUGAGACAGGUGCUGCAUGGCUGUCGUCAGCUCGUGUUGUGAAAUGUUGGGUUAAGUCCCGCAACGAGCGCAACCCUUAUCCUUUGUUGCCAGCGAUUAGGUCGGGAACUCAAAGGAGACUGCCAGUGAUAAACUGGAGGAAGGUAGGGAUGACGUCAAGUCAUCAUGGCCCUUACGACCAGGGCUACACACGUGCUACAAUGGCGCAUACAAAGAGAAGCGACCUCGCGAGAGCAAGCGGACCUCAUAAAGUGCGUCGUAGUCCGGAUUGGAGUCUGCAACUCGACUCCAUGAAGUUGGAAUCGCUAGUAAUCGUGGAUCAGAAUGCCACGGUGAAUACGUUCCCGGGCCUUGUACACACCGCCCGUCACACCAUGGGAGUGGGUUGCAAAAGAAGU
rnacentral:rRNA from 1 species